AUCCUUCAAAUGCCUGACUUAUCAACUGUCGAUGGUAGACUCUAUGUCUACCAUGGUUGUAACGGGUAACGGGGAAUCAGGGUUCGAUUCCGGAGAGGGAGCCUGAGAAACGGCUACCACAUCCAAGGAAGGCAGCAGGCACGCAAAUUACCCACUCCCGGCACGGGGAGGUAGUGACAAAAAAUAACGAUACGGGACUCUUAUGAGGCCCCGUAAUCGGAAUGAGUACACUUUAAAUCCUUUAACAAGGAUCCAUUGAAGGGCAAGUCUGGUGCCAGCAGCCGCGGUAAUUCCAGCUUCAAUAGCGUAUAUUAAAGUUGUUGCGGUUAAAAAGCUCGUAGUUGGUUCUGCGUGCCACGCUGUCGGUUCGCCGCCUGCCGGUGUAACUGGCAUGCCGUGGCAUGUCCUGUCGGUGGCGUUCGGGACCUCGUCUAGUGCCGGCCCUUGCCAAAGCUUGGUGUUCGGAGGCCGGGGGUAUACCCGUUCGCCUACUCUAUCCUACCUAGGUGCUCUUCACCGAGUGUCGAGGUAGGCCGACACGUUUACUUUGAACAAAUUAGAGUGCUCAAAGCAGGCUGAAAUCUCUGCCUGAAUAGUGGUGCAUGGAAUAAUAAACAGGACCUUGGUUCUAUUUUGUUGGUCUUAGGAACACAAGGUAAUGAUCAAUACGGACAGGCGGGGGCAUUCGUAUUGCGACGUUAGAGGUGAAAUUCUUGGAUCGUCGCAAGACGCACAAGAGCGAAAGCAUUUGCCAAGUAUGUCUUGAUUGAUCAAGAACGAAAGUUAGAGGUUCGAAGGCGAUCAGAUACCGCCCUAGUUCUAACCAUAAACGAUGCCAGCCAGCGAUCCGCCGAUGUUCCUCCGAUGACUCGGCGGGGAGCUUCUUCCCGGGAAACCAAAGCUUUUGGGUUCCGGGGGAAGUAUGGUUGCAAAGCUGAAACUUAAAGGAAUUGACGGAAGGGCACCACCAGGAGUGGAGCCUGCGGCUUAAUUUGACUCAACACGGGAAACCUCACCAGGCCAGGACAUUGGAAGGAUUGACAGAUUGAUAGCUCUUUCUUGAUUCAGUGGGUAGUGGUGCAUGGCCGUUCUUAGUUGGUGGAUCGAUUUGUCUGGUUAAUUCCGAUAACGAACGAGACUCUAGCCUAUUAACUAGGCGUUUUCCGGUGCCCCCGUCACCGGCGACAAUCAUUCUUCUUAAGGGGACAGGCGGCUUUUAGCCGCACGAGAUUGAGCAAUAACAGGUCUGUGAUGCCCUUAGAUGUCCUGGGCCGCACGCGCGCUACACUGAAGGAAUCAGCGUGUGCCUCCCUGGCCGAAAGGCCCGGGUAAUCCGCUGAACCUCCUGCGUGCUAGGAAUUGGGGCUUGCAAUUGUUCCCCAUGAACGAGGAAUUCCCAGUAAGCGCGAGUCAUAAGCUCGCGUUGAUUACGUCCCUGCCCUUUGUACACACCGCCCGUCGCUACUACCGAUUGAAUGAUUUAGUGAGGUCUUCGGACUGGCGGUAAUCCCUACCGACUCGUCGGUAUCG
rnacentral:rRNA from 1 species